rnacentral:lncRNA from 1 species
UGGGAUUAAUAUUAUUAAUUCUAAAUUAAUAACAGAUUUUUUUUUUUUAUAAUGAACUGUUACAGCCCAACGAGGGGCCUUUAAUUAAAAUGCAGGCCUAGCCCAUUUAAACCGCAGCCCAGCUGUCCAAAAGAAACAGGCCCAGCCUAGGGCCCAAGACCCAAUCUUAGUAGCUAGGGUUUGGAAAAAGGGGUUUGCAGCAACAGCCGCUGCCCCCUUCUCCUUCCCGUCGCCACCCCUUUCUCCUUCCCGUCGCCACGCCCGGAGCCACGCCGCCGCCGCUUGCAUCUGCGACGCCGACGACAUCGCGUCCUACCGGAGGUCUCCAUGCCGAUAGCAGCUCGAAGCCGCGUCGGAGGGAAGCGCCUUACAGCGGAGGAAGCAGCGGAGUUCUUACCGCGACAGAGCAGUUCCGCCGUGCGAGAACUCCACCGGCAGUCGUCCUCCCAUCGCGCGCCGCUCGAAGCGAUGUCGUCGUUGAUACAGUGGUCGCGCGCCGCCGUCAUUCAGCCACCAUUUCCGCACCACUCCGGCGUUCGAGCUUUUGAAGUGGGAAACAGUUUCGAAGGGACAGAAGCACGCCGGCUCGAAGCCGCGACCCAACGCACGUGGCGGAAGACGGUCAGGAGCAGCUCAGCAGCGAGCCCCGAGCCGCCUGUCGCCGCCUCCAGCGGUGGUUGACUCAGAUCCGGCGAUAGGUUCGAAUGCCCAGCAAUUUUCGAUAGCAGCCAAACGUUGGCGUCGUUGCCAUGGCUUCAGCCCGGCUGCGCCUUCGGUGGUCGAGAGCCGCCUCUGUGGCGGUGUCGACGGUGAUGGGCUGUCGAGCGCAGCACAAAGACAAGCCCCAACAGCGCCACCCCACGACAUAUAGCACAGCAGCGGCUGUCGCCGUCCGACAGCUUGAACGAACGCCGGUCAUGAUGCGGCAUCGCCGCCCAACGGCAAUUUAUACACCAUGUACGUUUGUUUUCUUUUGAAACAAAAUCCAAUUUCAUUUUGCAAAAUCCAAUUUCAAAAUUUCUUUCAGCGUUCUACGUUGCCCAGCAACAUAGAAAAUCAAUCCCAAUUCAAUGAAUUAUUCAAUUCUAAAUUCAUACUUCAAAAUCAGAUUUCUAAAAUCUAAUUUCAUUAACCCAUAAUCAAUUAGAACACAAUAGCAAUUGUAAAUCGAGCCCCGGGCUCUGAUACCACUGUUGGUUAUCCUUGACAUCAUCUAAUGAUACGCAGCGGAAUAUACAUUCAAGGAUUAGAUCUAGAUUUAUAAUUGAUUCAUGUGUAGAGAUUACAAACGUACACAACAAUAAAAUUAACUUACUCGUUGUGUAGUAAACAUGCGUCUCGAUUCCUGCGAAUUGAAUCCACCACUAGAGGUAUCCACGUGUAUGUCGAUUCGAUGCAGGAACAAUUCCCAGUGCAUGUUUCAAUCUUCGACAGCUAGGAAAUCUCCGAUUGAAACCAUAGUACUCUCUAGGUGUUUU